rnacentral:rRNA from 1 species
CCUACGGGUGGCAGCAGUGGGGAAUAUUGCACAAUGGGGGAAACCCUGAUGCAGCGACGCCGCGUGAGUGAAGACGUAUUUCGGUAUGUAAAGCUCUUUCAGCAGGGAAAAAAAUGACGGUACCUGACCAAUAAGCCCCGGCUAACUACGUCCCGGCAGCCGCGGUAAUACGUAGGGGGCAAGCGUUAUCCGGAUUUACUGGGUGUAAAGGGGGCGUAGACGGCAGGGCAAGUCUGGAGUGAAAGGCUGGGGCUCAACCCCCGGACUGCUCUGGAAACUGGCAGGCUGGAGUGCAGGAGAGGUAAGUGGAAUUCGUAGUGUAGCGGUGAAAUGCGUAGAUAUUAGGAGGAACACCAGUGGCGAAGGCGGCUUACUGGACUGUAACUGACGUUGAGGCUCGAAAGCGUGGGGAGCAAACAGGAUUAGAUACCCGAGUAGUC